rnacentral:rRNA from 1 species
AUGGAGUUGAGGAUUUCAAUGGCGCGGCUCCACCACCUUCUCUCCCGCGCGCUCUCCUCCCAAUGCCUCAUUCGCCCCUCUCCGCCCCCUUCGUCAGCGCGCCCGACUCUCCCGCUCCACUCUCAGCCUCCUCGUCCCCAUGGUCGCAGCCUACCCCCUUUCCUCGCCGCCGCCUCGCGGUACUACGCGUCAUCCAUAUCCAGACGGCGGCGGCGCGGGUCGGCGCCGCCGAUGCUGCCGAGGCGGAGGACAGCCGGGAGGAAGGGCCCCAUCGAGCUCAACGUGCAGAUUGGUAUCGAGGAAGCCCUCCCCGACGCCCCCCUCGUCCUGAGUAUUGCAGAAGCACUUCGAAAUGACGGUGGGAAGGCAACGAAGUUGUCACUCCACAAUCUGGACAAUUCGGAGUACACGACCAGAGACCCUUGUAUAAGCAGUGUGGAUAAGUACGAUAGCUUUGAUGUCUCCCUACUGCUUUGUGAUGACGGUUUCAUCAGGAAGCUGAACAAGGAAUGGAGGGAUGAAGACCACGCGACGGACGUUCUGUCCAUGUCGCAGCAUAUCCCAGGGCUCCAUAUUCCCAUUGUUCAUGGAUUAUUGCAUUUAUUGGGCUUUGAUCAUGAACUCAGCGAGGAGGCUGAAGAAGAGAUGGAGAAGGAAGAAGAACAAAUAUUAAAUACUCUUGAAUGGAAAGGGAAAGGACUCAUUAGGAGUGCAUACCAUUUCUGUACUGAUAGGUCGCCCUUGCAGAUUAUUUUUAUGGAGAUGGUGAGUUGGCGAAGCAUCAAGAAGUAUACUGUUUAUGCUGGAUCUUACCAACUUCUAGCAAGUAACUUCUUUGCAAAAAUAUUAAGAACCGUGCUUCCACCAAUAGCAACCUUCAAGCUUCUUAAUUUAGAAGGUAGAGACGAUUUUAUAUCGGAGAGUUCACCUGGUAUAUUUCUACAGCCUAUGCAGGAGGAUAGGAUAGAAGGAAGUAAGUGCCGAGCCCUCAUCAUUGUCAGUCUUUAUACUUGUUUGAACAAUGGAACAAUGUUUGAACAUCCUUCCGUCGACUUGUUGCACACUGUGCACCGUGAAACCAAGGUAAAAGUGAUGCCUUCAGUUGAGGACCUUUUGGAAUAUUCAUCCAUUCAGAAGUUGCUGUUCCUUGGCGAUGCGGAGGAAGAUUUAUCUGUCCUCAGACAACGUUGCUCGGGACUAACGGAAGGGAAAGCAUGUGUUGUCAAAGAGCAGCUAAAUGCACUUGAGAUUGUUCCCCUUAAUGCUUCAAAAGGUGGUGGUCUAAGGGUUCUACUUGAUCAUCUCGGAAUAACUGAAGACUCUGAUCUUGAAGCCAUUGGAGACUACCAGAUGGCUAAGCAAUAA